rnacentral:rRNA from 1 species
UACGGAGGAUGCGAGCGUUAUCCGGAUUUAUUGGGUUUAAAGGGUGCGUAGGCGGGUUAUCAAGUCAGCGGUAAAAUCGUGGAGCUCAACCCCUUCCCGCCAUUGAAACUGGCGAUCUUGAGUGGAAGAGAAGUAUGCGGAAUGCGUGGUGUAGCGGUGAAAUGCAUAGAUAUCACGCAGAACUCCGAUUGCGAAGGCAGCAUACCGGCGCCCAACUGACGCUGAGGCACGAAAGCGUGGGUAUCGAACAGG